UGAUAAAUAAAGGAAUUAAACCAA
rnacentral:tRNA from 1 species